CAAGUACUCCCUCCGUCUAGAAUUACUUGUCAUCAAAAUGGAUGUGUCUAGAACUAAAAUAUAUCUAGAUUCAUCCAUUUCAAUGACAAGUAUUUUCGGACGGAGGGAGUACAAG
rnacentral:pre_miRNA from 1 species